rnacentral:lncRNA from 1 species
AAAGCUGGAGAGUGUAGCUAAUAAUGACAAAGGACAGAUCAAGUUUCUAGGAGAUCUUGAGACUGGUUGGAAAAUGGGGAUGAAACCUCUAAGGAAGGCUUUGGGAAAGCUAAAGGCACAAGUUUGGACUGGAGAAGAUUCGGGAGUUUUUGUUGGCUGGAGACUCACUGCGACUGGGGUUGACAAAGAAGUUAGCGCAACCAUGGGCUCUCCUGACAGAGGUGUAGAAGAAGUCGCCUUGGGCUUGCCUGCAUGGCCACAUGAACACUGGGCUCCAUAAGAAGGUUAUUUAAGAGGGUCACUGACAAACUGGAGGCAGGGUCGUUGACGUACCAAAGACUUCAAGGUGGGGAAGAAAUUCAGAGGCAACUCCUGAAAAGGCUCACCCUUGAGUGUGAGUCUGUUCUAGAAGUUCUUGGGUUACCUAAUUCAUCAGCUGAGCCAAUCGGGAGGAAAGGAAUUUAUCUUACAAACAGAACUACUUAGAUGCCUGAGUCAUGAACUCUGCAUCAGUAAAAACAAUUGGCAAAAUGAAGCUGGCUUCUUAGGCUGAGAACCUUGUGGAAAUGAAGCCUGAAGCUUCAGAAAUGAAACCAGAGAGGCCUCCAACUGAGGUGCCUUCCUGAAGGGUGUAUUUGCACUUCGGCAGGGAAAUAUCUGUGGCAGACACACCGGUGCUGGUUGUUCCCCGUAACCCACAGUUGGCUUUCAUCUGCACUCCCCCCCCCCAAGCCCCAGUCCAUCCUCUCUUGCUUGAAGAAUUGCUCCUGCCUCUGGCCAAACCACAGGGGUGUGCUCCUGAGACAGACUUCUUUCAAAAGGCCCUGCCCCACCCCUGCGCUGUCGGGUGGGCGGACACACGCCCAUCUACAAACUGGGCUGGCCCAAGCAGAGACUGUCUCCUGGAGGAUGGCGUUAGGCCUGGCCGCUCAGAUGGUCAGUGGCUGACUAGAGGUGGGCAUGAGGCAGAGCCAGGGUUGAAGAAGGCAUUUUCUGAGAUGCGCUUUCAAUCAAAUAAAAACCUCCCACUCAGUGAUAAGAGCUAAGAGGGGCGGCUGAUGUGGAUGUGGGGGCCUGGUGACUCCCUCCUUCCCCUCAACAACUGUGAUUUCCCUGGGAUGGGAUUGCUAAGAGUGAGUUUGUUUUCACAGAAUUUGACCACAACAAGAACCUGGAUGCUCUUGGAAUUUAUUAGACUCUUUGGCACUAAAAGAACAUAUAAGUGGUUUUAAGUUCAAAGUGAUAGUCAUGAGUAGGGCUUAUAAUCUUGAAUUGUGUAGUAUUUGAGACACACCGUU